AGGGCCCUACGGGGCGCAGCAGUGAGGAAUAUUGGUCAAUGGUCGGGAGACUGAACCAGCCAAGCCGCGUGAGGGAGGAAGGUACAGAGUAUCGUAAACCUCUUUUGUCAGGGAACAAAGGCGGGGACGUGUCCCCGGAUGAGUGUACCCGAAGAAAAAGCAUCGGCUAACUCCGUGCCAGCAGCCGCGGUAAUACGGAGGAUGCGAGCGUUAUCCGGAUUUAUUGGGUUUAAAGGGUGC
rnacentral:rRNA from 1 species